UACGUAGGUGGCAAGCGUUGUCCGGAAUCAUUGGGCGUAAAGAGCGCGUAGGCGGCCAGAUAAGUCCGGUGUGAAAGUCAAAGGCUCAACCUUUGAAUGCCGCUGGAAACUGUCUGGCUAGAGUCCGGGAGGGGCGAGUGGAAUUCCUGGUGUAGCGGUGAAAUGCGCAGAUAUCAGGAGGAACACCAAUGGCGAAGGCAGCUCGCUGGAACGGUACUGACGCUGAGGCGCGAAAGCGUGGGGAGCAAACAGG
rnacentral:rRNA from 1 species